AAAAAGAAAAAAAUCCCUACCUCCACAAAACCUAAAUUAACCCCACCAAGUUCAGAUCUCCACAGUGUCUCCACCACCGCCAAUUUUAACUUCCACAAAACCCUAACCAGUAUUAGUUACCAUGUACCAUCAACACUCUCCUCUCGUCUACUCUCAUCCGCUGCAUAAUUAAGUGUAUGAUACAGUUUGAAGAAAGCUAGAAUGAGAUUACUCAGAUCGAUUUUCACUUUCCCCCUCCUCUGGAUGCAGACGAGGUAAUUCGGAAACAUCUUUAGUGGAGGCUCAGAGAGAUUGAAUUCAAAUGGUUUUUUUUUCACUGAUUGCUAAUGCUGCUAAAAGCUACUAUGAUAUACUUCAAGUUCCCAAAGGUGCAUCAGAUGAUCACAUUAAACGAUCAUAUAGAAAUCUUGCAUUGAAAUAUCACCCUGAUAAGAAUCAAGAAAAUGAAGAUACUAACAAGAAGUUUGCUGAAAUUAAUAAUGGUAGUAAAUAAUAUGUGACUUGUUUAUGCAUUGGAUUUGUGGGUUGUUAUAGAUUUUGUGUUUACUGUUGGUGUGAAAGUGAAUGUUUUGUGUGUUAUAGACUUACAGAUAAUGAAGUGUUGUCAAACAGUGAAAAGAGGAGAAUUUACGAUGGUAUGGUGAAGAAGGGCUCAAAGAGCUUGCUGCAACAGGGAUAUGACGAUGGCGCUGAUCAAAAAGACAAAACAAAGGCGAGUCGUUGUCACAGGCUGGACCAGUUCUUCAAUUGGGUUUGUACGCAAGAGGCAACAGGGAUAUGAAGACUCAGAGAGAGAUGAAUGGCAAUGGUUUAGGGGUUUGUUUCCUUUCGUAACCUGGAUCACUCACCAAUUGCCACUCUUUUUGACUUUUAUUUAUUCAAUAAUAAUUUAGGGCUGUAAAGUUCAACCGGGUCAUAUAUAAUUCAUAACUAACUGCACAUAGAAGAAGAGUCUGACGACGAGCAGGAAACCAGAGUUCAUGUUGUUUCUAGCAUUCAAUUUCAUCGUGCUCAUAGAACUUGCAGAUUCUGUUGUUCCUAGGAGAAUGUAAAAUUAGAUUUUAUAAAACAGAAUGUUAUUGUGUUGAUAAUUUUGUGUUAAUUUUGUAGGGGGCAUUGUUUAGAAUCAGUAUUGUAGUUUUAGUUUACAGUUUGAUGUAAAUUAGGAUAAACAUGAGUGAUUUUGUUAUGAUUAAAACCCUAAGAUGUUAAUUGGACUUGAUAUUUGUGAUUAUUGGUGGUCAUAUAUGGAUUGUGAGUUUGAAUUGGAGGUUAGUUUGCCCUUGGCUGUGGUUAUUUACACCAGUUUUGGUUGUUUGGAGGUUAAUUAGGUUAAAUAUGGGUGAUUUUGUUAUGAUUAUAACUUUAAGAUGUUAAUUGAAUGUUCAGCUGAUCCCACCCACACAUUUAUAACACUUUUAACUUUCUUUCUUUCAGGAACUUCAGUGUCGUGAUUGGUCUCUACGUCCUCUUACACAAGACCAAACUACUUACGUUGUCUUAGACGCUCUUUGUUUGAUUCACAUUUUUUAUGUUUUUCAACAAAGACUUUUCAAACAAUAUUUUUCAUUCUCUUUCUAUAUUCUAAGUGUUUGAUAGUGCGUUCCUAAAUGAACAUAUAUACAUUACCUUGUUAUCAAUGGUUGCGGGUGCGUUCCUAUCCAAAGCCACAAAUAUCAAUGAUAUUAUCAUUUUUUUAUGUUUCCCAGCUGAUACUUUUGAGGACUUUUUCCAAGGCAAUAAAAAAUAUUACUUUUUUAAGAGGCAACCAUAUAUUUCAUUUAAAUAUGAGUGAUUUUGUUAUGGUCAUAACUCUAAGAUGUUACUUGAAUGUUCAGCUGAUCCUACCCUUUCAACUUUUUUUUCAUAUGGAGAGCGAUCGACGGGAAGAUCUUGACGGCUACAGCUCUCGCAGCAAGGAGUGUAGUGUUUGGGGAUGGUUUGUAUCCGGUUUGCGAUUUUGAUCCCGAGUCCGAUGAUCAUCUUUUAGUGAGGUGUACGGUGGCAAAAACAGUUUGGUGGUGGAUCUGCGCUUGUCAAAAAGUCCCUACACCGAGCGUUUUUAACUCUGUGACCCAGAUCCUAGCUCAUUGUCGCAGCCUAGCAAUGGAGGCAAAAAAGGAGAAGAAAACUUAUGCAGUUUUUUUUGUAACUAUGUGGAAGCUUUGGCAAAACAGAAAUGAGAGGUUUUUUGAAAAAAAAAGUCCGCUUCAAAGCGACCUUCGUCGAUGACUUGAAGGUUGAAUCAUUUUGGUGGAUGGUGAAGCGAAGCAAACUUGUUGGCCUAUACAUGGAAAGAUGGUGCAAAUUCGAGGGGAUAGACUUUACCUAGUAUUUGGUUUGUUUGUUUUUGUUUUUGUUUUGGGUAUGUCCAGUUUUGUUUGGGGUCUGUAGCUUCUUUAGGCUUCUGGCUACCAGAGUAGUGGUUGUUUAUAUGAAAUAAAGAUCUCUAUCAGGUGAUUUUCAAAAACCAUUUGUAUUCUAUAAUCAUGACUACAUACAUGUUUUAUGGUUGAACUCUACUGAAAUUAUGUUGCUUGCUGGAGUA